GACGAACGCUGGCGGCGUGCUUAACACAUGCAAGUCGAACGGAAAGGCCCUGCGUUUGUGGGGUGCUCGAGUGGCGAACGGGUGAGUAACACGUGAGUAAACUGCCCUUGUCUUUGGGAUAACUUCAGGAAACUGGGGCUAAUACCGGGGAGGAGCUCCUGCUGCGUGGUGGGGGUUGGAAAGUUUCGGCGGUUGGGGAUGGACUCGCGGCUUAUCAGCUUGUUGGUGGGGUAGUGGCUUACCAAGGUUUUGACGGGUAGCCGGCCUUGGAGGUUGGACGGCCACAUUGCGCCUACGGUACGGCCCAGACGGCUACGUGCGGCAGCAGUCGGGAACAUUGCGCAACGGGCGGACGCCUGAUGCAGAGACGCCGCGUGCGGGAUGCCGUCUUUCGGGUGGUAAACCGCUUUGUCCGGUGACGAAGCGUGAGUGACGGUACUGGGUAAAGAAGCACCGGCUAACUACGUG
rnacentral:rRNA from 1 species